rnacentral:rRNA from 1 species
UCGAGAAUUUUUCACAAUGGGCGAAAGCCUGAUGGAGCGACGCCGCGUGGGGGAUGAAUGGCUUCGGCCCGUAAACCCCUGUCAUUCGCGAACAAAUCUUCCGACCUAAUACGUCGGAGGUUGAUUGUAGCGGAAGAGGAAGGGACGGCUAACUCUGUGCCAGCAGCCGCGGUAAUACAGAGGUCCCAAGCGUUGUUCGGAUUCACUGGGCGUAAAGGGUGCGUAGGCGGUUGGGUAAGUCUGAUGUGAAAUCCCGGAGCUUAACUCCGGAACUGCAUCGGAUACUAUCCAGCUCGAGGAUUGGAGGGGGGACUGGAAUUCUCGGUGUAGCAGUGAAAUGCGUAGAUAUCGAGAGGAACACCGGUGGCGAAGGCGAGUCCCUGGACAAUUCCUGACGCUGAGGCACGAAAGCUAGGGGAGCAAACAG